UAGUCAGAUUGCGCUUCUUAUUCUCGUUCCUUACUUGAAAUAUAAGCUUCUUGAAUGCAUCCAUAAGUGUUCGAGCCCUAAUCCAAUCCGAAAUAAGCAAGAGGAAAACAUGAACAACCCACGGACAGACGGAGCGGACGGUCGUUUGUGAGCAUCCACGUGCAAUCUGAUGUCAUCAGGAGGAGGAAGUCAAGACAGUUAAGUGUGGCUCAGAGGGGCUCGGAGGGGCCUGGGUCACCGUGGUCCAACCCUGCUGACAGAGCUGACAGCGGUCUGUUAGAGGGGGGGCGGGGGAGGACUUGUAACCAGGCGGACGUCAGAGAUCUAUUCUGGAUGCCCGGUGCGACAGCCGGCCAGCAACAGCAGCAGCAGCAGGGGGAAGGAAUGCUGUCUGUCCGGAGGCCUGGGCAGAGUGAUCGCUGAUCCUGUCGGAGGAAGUGGAGAUGGCGGCUCUCCUGUUUCAUGGCUCGUGGAAGAGAGAGAGCGAGAGAGAGAGAGAGAGGGAGUUGGACUGGGGACAUGACGCUCAAAAGAGAGGGGAGAGAGACUAAGAGAGUGGUGGUGGUGGUGUUGGGAGGGGGCUGAAGGCAUUUGGUUUGGUGCCAGUCGAGCCAGCUCUCUGGCAUGCCACAUUCCAGGAGAUCAACACCAUGGUAUUUCCUUUCACCCCCAACCCACAUCCACCACACUGCAGUCCACCACAAUCCCAAGCACCGUUUUCCUCCAAUAAAUCUUUAUCGAACAAGAAAAAUAAAGCAAUAAUGUGUUAUCGUAUGUACAACAAAUACAUAUCACAGCGGUGGAGAAUCUAAAAAUUUAAAAAUAAAUAUCUAAAGCAUCAUAAUUAUUGUGGCACAGAUGCUGCAGCUCUUUCUCCUAGAAAUUAAAAAUGGGAAAUGAUAUUUGAGGAACGCACCCUUCCUCAAUUCAUUUUACUCAGGAGGUUUUGUGGUCUCGUAAGACAAAAUUUAGGUUUAUUAUUGUUGUGUAACUGAUAUCACUGACUACUUUCACUGACUUAAUGACUCUUAUCUUCUGGUGCUAGUGUUACAUCAUGUUUUAUCAUUAUCUUGUAAGAGUUUUGACUGCGAGACAACAACAAUUGUGUAAGUUUACCGCACGUCUCGUUGCGCCAGAAGAGUCUAAUACAAUCUAAGCCUCAAUCUGUGUCAGACGAUAUCAGUUUGAGGCUGUCAGAUUGUACGCUGAACGCGUGGUGAAUCACAGCGCUAUAGUCUAAAUAGAAAAUAAGCAUAUGAAAGCAGAGACAAGUCACCGGCUCAUCAGCCAUGUGGUGUUUUGGAAAUGCAGCAGUCACAGAAAACUUCUUUUUCGUUUCACCUCAAUCAUUUUGGUUUGUGUGAGUCAUGGUUGUGUUAAAGAGGGUCUGUUUCAGUUCAGUCUGAAAUAGACCGCCCCCCCUGCUGAUGAACUCGUGGUUGGUUUGUAGUUGUGGGUUGAAACAGCAGUCACAUUGUGAAAAUUAGGUCUUGAAUUUCUGACUGUCUUUGGUCUCCAAAGCCUUAAAUCGGUCGGCGGGGGACGCGUCUCACAGCGGCACUGUUUUCUCUCGAACAUCUGUUCUAAGGAUUACGCUGCCGUUACACUCAAACACACUUAAUGCCAAAUUUACACUUAGAUACUGACAGUCAUCAGCUGCUCAUCAACACUAAAUGCAGGACAUUAAUUCUUGUGAUUUCAAUAUGCGUAAGAAACUGAUUAACUGCUGGUGGGUUGUUUGGUCUGCGUCCAUAUCGCCUCACUGUAUAUUUUUCGGGUUUGUUCCCUACGAUGGAAUGACCAGCUCUGUAUCUAAUGUGGUUUUCCUAAUCUGCUAAUCUGGUGGGAAGUGACAACGUCAGCGUCUAGACAUAAAAAACCACACUCUGUACAUUUGUAUAUUCACAGAUAUACAUCAAUUCUACUUGAGC